UACGAAGGGGGCUAGCGUUGCUCGGAAUCACUGGGCGUAAAGCGCACGUAGGCGGGUCGUUAAGUCGGGGGUGAAAUCCUGGAGCUCAACUCCAGAACUGCCUUCGAUACUGAAGAUCUUGAGUCCGGGAGAGGUGAGUGGAACUGCGAGUGUAGAGGUGAAAUUCGUAGAUAUUCGCAAGAACACCAGUGGCGAAGGCGGCUCACUGGCCCGGUACUGACGCUGAGGCACGAAAGCGUGGGGAGCGAACAGG
rnacentral:rRNA from 1 species